CCUACGGGAGGCAGCAGUGGGGAAUAUUGCGCAAUGGGCGAAAGCCUGACGCAGCGACGCCGCGUGCGGGAUGAAGGUCUUCGGAUCGUAAACCUCUGUCAGCAGGGAAGAACGGUCACUGUGCUAAUCAGCAGUGAAUUGACGGUACCUGCACAGGAAGCAACGGCUAACUACGUGCCAGCAGCCGCGGUAAUACGGAGGUUGCGAGCGUUAAGCGGAAUUAAUGGGCGUAAAGCGGUCGUAGGCGGUAUGUCAAAGCAAGGGUGAAAUCCCCGGGCUCAACGGGGGAACUGCCUUUGAUACUGGCAAACUGGAGUGUGUGAGAGGAUAGUGGAAUUCCAGGUGUAGGAGUGAAAUCCGUAGAUAUCUGGAGGAACAUCAGAGGCGAAGGCGACUAUCUGGCACAUAACUGACGCUGAGGAGCGAAAGCGUGGGUAGCAAACAGGAUUAGAUACCCGAGUAGUC
rnacentral:rRNA from 1 species